UACGAAGGGGGCUAGCGUUGCUCGGAAUUACUGGGCGUAAAGGGCGCGUAGGCGGAUGUUUAAGUCAGAUGUGAAAGCCCCGGGCUCAACCUGGGAAUUGCAUUUGAGACUGCAUUGCUUGGGUGCGGAAGAGGGAAGCGGAAUUUCCGGUGUAGCGGUGAAAUGCGUAGAUAUCGGAAGGAACACCAGUGGCGAAAGCGGCUUCCUGGUCCGACACCGACGUUCAGGCACGAAAGCGUGGGGAGCAAACAGG
rnacentral:rRNA from 1 species